UCCUACGGGAGGCAGCAGUGAGGAAUAUUGGUCAAUGGGCGAGAGCCUGGACCAGCCAAGUAGCGUGCAGGACGACGGCCCUAUGGGUUGUAAACUGCUUUUAUGCGGGGAUAAAGUUCACUACGUGUAGUGUUUUGCAGGUACCGCAUGAAUAAGGACCGGCUAAUUCCGUGCCAGCAGCCGCGGUAAUACGGAAGGUCCGGGCGUUAUCCGGAUUUAUUGGGUUUAAAGGGAGCGCAGGCCGGAGGUCAAGCGUGACGUGAAAUGUAGCCGCUCAACGGCUGAACUGCGUCGCGAACUGGCUUUCUUGAGUGAGUUCGAUGUGGGCGGAAUUCGUGGUGUAGCGGUGAAAUGCUUAGAUAUCACGAAGAACUCCGAUUGCGAAGGCAGCCCACAAGGCCUUUACUGACGCUAAAGCUCGAAGGUGCGGGUAUCGAACAGGAUUAGAUACCCUGGUAGUCC
rnacentral:rRNA from 1 species